rnacentral:rRNA from 1 species
CUAAGAAUAUUCCGCAAUGGACGAAAGUCUGACGGAGCGACGCCGCGUGGAUGAUGAAGGCCGGAAGGUUGUAAAAUCCUUUUAUGACUGAGGAAUAAGCAGUGUGAGAGAAACGCAUUGUGGUGACUGUAGUACUUGAAUAAGCAACGACUAAUUACGUGCCAGCAGCCGCGGUAACACGUAAGUUGCGAGCGUUGUUCGGAAUUAUUGGGCGUAAAGGGCAUGUAGGCGGUUUUGCAAGCUUGGUGUGAAAUGCCGGAGCUUAACUCCGGAACUGCGUUGAGAACUGCAUAACUAGAGU